rnacentral:snRNA from 1 species
AUCACUUCUCGGCCUUUUGGCCAAGAUCAAGUGUAGCAAGGAAUCUCAGAUAGUAUUUUAAAAGCCUCUCCAGGCAGGGGAAAAAAACCAGGCCUUCCCGUCAUACUUUGCCUGCAAUACCUAUAGGUUUGAUGACUUCCUU